rnacentral:rRNA from 1 species
GACGAACCGUCCUAACGUUAUUCGGAUUCACUGGGCUUAAAGGGCGCGUAGGCGGACGAGCAAGUCCGGGGUGAAAUCUUUCGGCUUAACCGGAAAAGUGCCUUGGAUACUGCUCGUCUUGAGGGAGGUAGGGGCAUGUGGAACUUCCGGUGGAGCGGUGAAAUGCGUUGAUAUCGGAGGGAACGCCGGUGGCGAAAGCGACGUGCUGGCCCUCUUCUGACGCUGAGGCGCGAAAGCUAGGGGAGCAAACGGG